rnacentral:lncRNA from 1 species
GCAGAGGCCUGGCCCUGAUGUGCCUCGGCGCUGUGACCCAGGGUUAAAAUUGCUCUACAGCCAAACUUCAGACUUUCCAAAAACCACAUUUCAAAGCAGUGGCCAUCAAGAUCGAACCGCAAAUCAUCUGUUGCUCUGGUUCUUAAUUAUUUCAGGGAACUGAAGACACGAAUAAAGAAACACCACACACAGGGAUUGUCGAUGAAAACUGACACAUGAAAUAGGGCAUCGGUGGGAUCUGAGGUGUCAAGAGGCCUUCGAAGAGGGCGGCAGCUUCAGAGGGUGUCGCCCAACACACCCCCUGUGAUGUCGAGUGACCACAUGCAAUUCCAGUGUUGACUGCAGAGGCUCGUCACCAGCCUGCCUCACGUUGUCAUCUUUCCACCUGCUGGGCUGCAGGUCACGGGAAAUCCCCAUAAUGGGGACACAAUCUAUGGGCACAAUCACUAUUUCAGAUUCCAACUAGACGCUCGGAUGCAGGCCAGUGCUCGGGUUCAUGCAGCCACUGAGUGGUUGCAUCGGGGGCUGCACGCAGGCUUUCUGCCCUGCUGCCCUCAGAGACUGCAGCCCUCUCCCUGCAUGUUUGCUGAAGCCACUGCCAGCUCAGAAUGUAGACAUGGCCACGUCCAAGAGUGAGAAGAGCAGUGUUUUCUUCCAGCUGUCUUAUUCAGAAGAAAACCUUUUCCAAAAGUCCCAUCUGACUUUCUUGCAGCAACCUUUGGCUCAGGAUGGGGCAUCCUCCCAUGACCUAGCCAGAAAAGCAGCUGAAAAAGUGAAGUCAGAUGUUUUCAGCACAUUGUGGGUGACGGAGAGACAACUUUAAGAAAGCAGUAUGACCUCCUGGAACUUGUGCCUGCUUGCUCUGAACCCACCGAUUAAAGCUCCCACAGGAAACCUGUUUGGAUAAUGCACUGUUUGGAUAACGCACUGUUUGGAUAACACACGGGGCCCAAUAAAGGCGUUGGCCAAGAGGUCUCUUUUCUCUCUCCGCCUGCGCCCCUGAUUUCCAUGUACCAUGUACUCCCUCAGAUCUGUAAGUGCCAAAAACUCCUAAAUCUUCACAUUAGGGUUGUGUCAUUGACACCAUGCCCACGGUCCAACCUCUGAGGACUGGCGAGGUCCCAGAAGCCCCAUGGACAUGGACUCCCUGCUGGUGCUCUUUCGUCCAAGCCUCUCAGCAACUGGGACAGUAGUUACCAGCUAAAUUGAUAGAGUGUCAUUCAAAACACCUUCCCCAUUGCCUCUGAAUACAGCUGGUAAGGAUUCUCUUAUUUUAAGGACUUAUGUGAUUAGAUUGGGUUUACCCAGAUAAUCCAUGGUAAUCCCCAUCCGUAACCAUAAUCCCAUCUGCAAAGCCCCUUUUGCUACCUAAGGUGCAUAUUCAUAGGUUCUUGGGAUUAGUGGGGUUCCGUAGGCUGUCAUUCUGCCCAUCGUGUGUGAAAGAUCCACCCCGGGAACUUGGUCUGUGGAGUCUCAGGCCGCACCUGCAGAGAUUCAGACCCAGUGUGUCUGGGGCCAGGCCCAGGGACUGGCAGGUGUAACAAGUACCCAACCAGCUAGCGCAGGUGGCCUGAGGAGCUCACCCUUGAGAAGCACCAACUUGGAUGCACACCAGGCUGCCACCCCCAUGGCUCGCCCCGAUGCCCCCAGGAGCCCCUGGAGACAGAAAAGAGGAAUACUCAUGCCCACUCUGAGGCUGGAGGCGGGCACUCAGGCUGAGAAGAGGGCGCCUUAUUGACCAGGACAGAGACAGGGCUGGGGCUCCAGUCUUCAGGCACACAGUUGGGUGCGGCUGUGUGGCAGGGGGAGGGGGUGGUGGCCCCUCCCACAGCAACCCGCAGGCCUCAGCAGUAACUGAGCCCCCUCUGAACCUGCCACCCUGGACCUGCAUGAGGCACCUUCCACAGGGCUCACCCCUCAGAGCUCCCCACCCACAGACCUCUGCUCCAGGAGAGAGAUUCCAUCUGCAGGGAGGGUGCUGGCACCGAGCCCUGCCAGAGCCACUUCCCUUGCAGGCGCGGCUGCGUGUGUGUCACCUGUGCUGUGUUCUGAUCUAAUUGUUUGUAAUUACAAAGUAGCGG